rnacentral:rRNA from 1 species
UAGGGAAUCUUCGGCAAUGGGGGCAACCCUGACCGAGCAACGCCGCGUGAGUGAAGAAGGUUUUCGGAUCGUAAAGCUCUGUUGUAAGAGAAGAACGUGUGGGAGAGUGGAAAGUUCAACAAGUGACGGAAACUUACCAGAAAGGGACGGCUAACUACGUGCCAGCAGCCGCGGUAAUACGUAGGUCCCGAGCGUUGUCCGGAUUUAUUGGGCGUAAAGCGAGCGCAGGCGGUUUAAUAAGUCUGAAGUUAAAGGCAGUGGCUUAACCAUUGUUCGCUUUGGAAACUGUUAAACUUGAGUGCAGAAGGGGAGAGUGGAAUUCCAUGUGUAGCGGUGAAAUGCGUAGAUAUAUGGAGGAACACCGGUGGCGAAAGCGGCUCUCUGGUCUGUAACUGACGCUGAGGCUCGAAAGCGUGGGGAGCAAACAGG